GAUGAAGAACGCAGCGAAAUGCGAUAAGUAAUGUGAAUUGCAGAAUUCAGUGAAUCAUCGAAUCUUUGAACGCUUCUUGCGCUCCUUGGUAUUCUGAGGAGCAUGCCUGUUUGAGUGUCAUUAAAUUCUCAACUACACUGACUUUGAAUUGGUGUGGCUUGGAUUUGGGGGGAAAAUUGUUGUGGGCUUUUUGUAUAGUCUGCUCCCCUGAAAUUGAUUAGCGGUACCUUUGUGGAACUGUCUACAGGUGUGAUAAUUAUCUACAUCGUAGACAUCUGCUGGAAUGCUGCUUUCUAAACCUUACUUGUAUUGACAAUCUUGACCUCAAAUCAGGUAGGACUACCCGCUGAACUUAAGCAUAUCAAUAAGCGGAGGA
rnacentral:misc_RNA from 1 species